rnacentral:rRNA from 1 species
GUCUUUUUGAUUAUAAUUUAAAGUCUAACCUGCCCAAUGAGGAGUUAAAUGGCCGCGGUAUCUUGACCGUGCAAAGGUAGCAUAAUCAUUAGUUUUUUAAUUGAAAGCUGGUAUGAAUGGUUGGACGAGAGAGUAGCUGUCUCAAUUUAAGUUAAAUUAGAAUUUUAUUUAUAAGUAAAAAAGCUUAUAUAGGUUUAAAAGACGAGAAGACCCUAUAGAAUUUUAUAUAUUUAUAUGUAUAUUAUUUUUAGAAUGGAUAUUUUUAUAUAUAUUAAUAUAUUUUGUUGGGGCGACAGAAAAAUUUAAUAAACUUUUUUUAUAUUUAAACAUUAAUAUAUGAUUAAUUGAUCCGUUAUUUACGAUUAUAAGAUUAAAUUACCUUAGGGAUAACAGCGUAAUUUUUUUUUAGAGUUCAUAUCGAAAAAAGAGUUUGCGACCUCGAUGUUGGAUUAAAAUUAACUUUUGGUGUAGGGGCUAAAAGGUUAGGUCUGUUCGACCUUUAAAAUUUUACA